CUGAAGGCCAGAGUGCCUCGAGCUGCGCAUAUAAUGCGCGUGCUCGGCCUCUUUCUUUCUUUAUCCACACACCUUUGUGCACCAAUGGGACGACGUCCCCUUUUUUCACACGAAUACCAAGUUAUAUGCAUGUCAUGACAUUACUAAAUGUUAA
rnacentral:misc_RNA from 1 species